rnacentral:tRNA from 1 species
GGGUAUAGCUCAGUUGGUAGAGCGCUGCCUUUGCACGGCAGAAGUCAGCGGUUCGAGUCCGCUUACCUCCACUC